GACGAACGCUGGCGGCGUGCUUAACACAUGCAAGUCGAACGGAAAGGCCCUGCUUGCAGGGUACUCGAGUGGCGAACGGGUGAGUAACACGUGGGUGAUCUGCCCUUCACUUCGGGAUAAGCCUGGGAAACUGGGUCUAAUACCGGAUAGGAGCCCUUUUUAGUGUGAUGGUUGGAAAGUUUUUUCGGUGUAGGAUGAGCUCGCGGCCUAUCAGCUUGUUGGUGGGGUAAUGGCCUACCAAGGCGGCGACGGGUAGCCGGCCUGAGUGGGUGGACGGCCACAUUGGGACUGAGAUACGGCCCAGAAUCCUACGGGAGGCAGCAGUGGGGAAUAAUGCACAAUGGGCGCAAGGCUGAUGCAGCGACGCCGCGUGGGGGAUGACGGCCUUCGGGUUGUAAACUCCUUUCGCUAGGGACGAAGCUUUUUGUGACGGUACCUAGAUAAGAAGCACCGGCUAACUACGUG
rnacentral:rRNA from 1 species